GUAGUUCCGCCGACGACCAGGUUGAUGACGGACUUUUAAUCCGCGGGUCGAGGGUUCGAUCCCCUCCGGGCCCA
rnacentral:tRNA from 1 species